UUUUAGUGGCGAACGGGUGAGUAACACGUAAGCAACCUGCCUUUAAGACGAGAAUAACAAUUGGAAACAGUUGCUAAGGCUGGAUAGGAAAUAAAAAGGCAUCUUUUUAUUUUUAAAAGACCUUCUUCGGAGGGUAUGCUUAAAGAGGGGCUUGCGUCACAUUAGUUAGUUGGUAGGGUAAUGGCCUACCAAGACGAUGAUGUGUAGCUGGACUGAGAGGUUGAACAGCCACAUUGGGACUGAGACACGGCCCAAACUCCUACGGGAGGCAGCAGUAGGGAAUUUUCGGCAAUGGAGGAAACUCUGACCGAGCAACGCCGCGUGAACGACGAAGUACUUCGGUAUGUAAAGUUCUUUUAUUGAAGAAGAAACAAUAGUGGAAAAACUAUCUUGACGUUAUUCAAUGAAUAAGCCCCGGCUAACUAUGUGCCAGCAGCCGCGGUAAUACAUAGGGGGCGAGCGUUAUCCGGAAUUAUUGGGCGUAAAGGGUGCGUAGGCGGUUUAAUAAGUCUCUAGUUUAAUUUCAACGCUUAACGUUGUCCUGCUAGAGAAACUGUUUGACUAGAGUGAGAUAGAGGUAAGCGGAAUUCCAUGUGUAGCGGUAAAAUGUGUAAAUAUAUGGAGGAACACCAGAGGCGUAGGCGGCUUACUGGGUCUUUACUGACGCUGAUGCACGAAAGCGUGGGGAGCAAACAGGAUUAGAUACCCUGGUAGUCCACGCCGUAAACUAUGAGUACUAAGUGUCGGGGUUAAACUCGGUACUGAAGUUAACACAUUAAGUACUCCGCCUGAGUAGUACGUACGCAAGUAUGAAACUUAAAGGAAUUGACGGGAUCCCGCACAAGCGGUGGAUCAUGUUGUUUAAUUCGAAGAUACACGAAAAACCUUACCAGGUCUUGACAUACUCUGCAAAACUAUAGAAAUAUAGUGGAGGUUAUCAGGGAUACAGGUGGUGCAUGGUUGUCGUCAGCUCGUGUCGUGAGAUGUUAGGUUAAGUUCUAAAACGAGCGCAACCCCUGUCGUUAAUUGCCAGCACGUUAUGGUGGGGACUUUAGCGAGACUGCCAAUGAAAAAUUGGAGGAAGGUGGGGAUUACGUCAAAUCAUCAUGCCCCUUAUGAUCUGGGCUACAAACGUGAUACAAUGGCUAUUACAAAGAGUAGCUUAAACGCGAGUUUUUGGCAAAUCUCAAAAAAAUAGUCUUAGUUCGGAUUGAAGUCUGCAACUCGACUUCAUGAAGUUGGAAUCGCUAGUAAUCGCGAAUCAGCAUGUCGCGGUGAAUACGUUCUCGGGGUUUGUACACACCGCCCGUCAAACCACGAAA
rnacentral:rRNA from 1 species